rnacentral:rRNA from 1 species
GACGAACGCUGGCGGCGUGCUUAACACAUGCAAGUCGAACGGAAAGGCCCUGCUUUUGUGGGGUGCUCGAGUGGCGAACGGGUGAGUAACACGUGAGUAACCUGCCCUUGACUUUGGGAUAACUUCAGGAAACUGGGGCUAAUACCGGAUAGGAGCUCCUGCUGCAUGGUGGGGGUUGGAAAGUUUCGGCGGUUGGGGAUGGACUCGCGGCUUAUCAGCUUGUUGGUGGGGUAGUGGCUUGCCAAGGCUUUGACGGGUAGCCGGCCUGAGAGGGUGACCGGCCACAUUGGGACUGAGAUACGGCCCAGACUCCUACGGGAGGCAGCAGUGGGGAAUAUUGCACAAUGGGCGGAAGCCUGAUGCAGCAACGCCGCGUGCGGGAUGACGGCCUUCGGGUCGUAAACCGCUUUCGCCUGUGACGAAGCGUGAGUGACGGUAAUGGGUAAAGAAGCACCGGCUAACUACGUG